CAGCAGCCACGGGAAUACGUAGGUGGCAAGCGUUGUCCGGAAUUAUUGGGCGUAAAGCGCGCGCAGGCGGAUCGGUCAGUCUGUCUUAAAAGUUCGGGGCUUAACCCCGUGAUGGGAUGGAAACUGCCAAUCUAGAGUAUUGGAGAGGAAAGCGGAAUUCCUAGUGUAGCGGUGAAAUGCGUAGAUAUUAGGAGGAACACCGGUGGCGAAAGCGGCUUUCUGGACGACAACUGACGCUGAGGCGCGAAAGCCAGGGGGGCAAACGGGAUUAGAUACCCCCGUAGUCCCUGUCUCUUAUACC
rnacentral:rRNA from 1 species